AUUGAACGCUGGCGGCAGGCCUAACACAUGCAAGUCGAACGAGUGGCGGACGGGUGAGCAAUGUCUGGGGCACUGCCUGAUGGAGGGGGAUAACUAAUGGAAACGGUAACUAAUAACGCAUACCAUAGGAUGGGCCCAGAUGGGAUUAGCUAGGAGGUGGGGUAAAGGCUCACCUAGGCGACGAUCCCUAGCUGGUCUGAGAGGAUGACCAGCCACACUGGAAAUGAGACACGGUCCAGACUCCUACGGGAGGCAGCAGUGGGGAAUAUUGCACAAUGGGCGCAAGCCUGAUGCAGCCAUGCCGCGUGUAUGAAGAAGGCCUUCGGGUUGUAAAGUACUUUCAGCGGGGAGGCGUUACCCGCAGAAGAAGCACCGGCUAACUCCGUGCCAGCCGCCGCGGUAAUUC
rnacentral:rRNA from 1 species